UACCAGCACCCCGAGUUGUCGGGACGAUUAUUGGGCCUAAAGCAUCCGUAGCCUGUUCUGCAAGUCCUCCGUUAAAUCCACCUGCUCAACGGAUGGGCUGCGGAGGAUACCGCAGAGCUAGGAGGCGGGAGAGGCAAACGGUACUCAGUGGGUAGGGGUAAAAUCCAUUGAUCUACUGAAGACCACCAGUGGCGAAGGCGGUUUGCCAGAACGCGCUCGACGGUGAGGGAUGAAAGCUGGGGGAGCAAACCGGAUUAGAAACCCCAGUAGUCC
rnacentral:rRNA from 1 species